GAUGAACGCUGGCGGCGUGCUUAACACAUGCAAGUCGAACGACUAAAGCCCCUUCGGGGGUGUAUAGAGUGGCGAACGGGUGAGUAACACGUGGGCAACCUGCCCUGCGCUUCGGGAUAACUCAGGGAAACUUGAGCUAAUACCGGAUACUCCUUGGGGAUCGCAUGGUCCCCUCGGGAAAGUUCCGGCUGGCGCAGGAUGGGCCCGCGGCCCAUUAGCUUGUUGGUGAGGUAAUGGCUCACCAAGGCGACGAUGGGUAGCCGAGCUGCGAGGCUGAUCGGUCACACUGGGACUGAGACACGGCCCAGACUACUACGGGAGGCAGCAGUGGGGAAUUUUGCGAAAUGGGCGAAAGCCUGACGCAGCAACGCCGCGUGCGGGAUGAAGGCCGUCGGGUUGUAAACCGCUUUCAGCAGGGAUGAAACUGACAGUACCUGCAGAAGAAGCCCCGGCUAACUACGUGCCAGCCGCCGCCGUAACAC
rnacentral:rRNA from 1 species